UACAGAGGGUGCAAGCGUUAAUCGGAAUUACUGGGCGUAAAGCGCACGUAGGUGGCUUGGUAAGUUGGAUGUGAAAUCCCCGGGCUUAACUUGGGAAUUGCAUUCAAGACUGCCUUGCUAGAGUGUGGAAGAGGGAAGCGGAAUUUCCGGUGUAGCGGUGAAAUGCGUAGAUAUCGGAAGGAACACCAGUGGCGAAAGCGGCUUCCUGGUCCAGCACCGACGUUCAGGCACGAAAGCGUGGGGAGCAAACAGG
rnacentral:rRNA from 1 species